CCUACGGGAGGCAGCAGUGAGGAAUAUUGGUCAAUGGGCUCACGCCUGAACCAGCCAAGUCGCGUGAGGGAAGACUGCCCUACGGGUUGUAAACCUCUUUUGUCAGGGAGCAACGCGGGUCACAUGUAGCGCCACUGAGAGUACCUGGAGAAAAAGCAUCGGCUAACUCCGUGCCAGCAGCCGCGGUAAUACGGAGGAUGCGAGCGUUAUCCGGAUUUAUUGGGUUUAAAGGGUGCGUAGGCGGAAUGUUAAGUCAGCGGUAAAAUGGAGGGGCUCAACCCCGUUCCGCCGUUGAAACUGGCGUUCUUGAGUGGACGAGAAGUAUGCGGAAUGCGUGGUGUAGCGGUGAAAUGCAUAGAUAGCACGCAGAACUCCGAUUGCGAAGGCAGCAUGCCGGCUCCCGACUGACGCUGAAGCACGAAAGCGUGGGGAUCGAACAGGAUUAGAUACCCGGGUAGUC
rnacentral:rRNA from 1 species